rnacentral:piRNA from 1 species
UUUUUGAUCAGCUGUCUCCGUA